rnacentral:tRNA from 1 species
GCCGCGGUAGCUCAGCUGGGAGAGCAUUCGGCUGAAGACCGAAGGGUCGCUGGUUCAAAUCCGGCUCGCGGCA